AUUUAAAUAGCUUAAAUAGAGCAUAACGUUGAAGGUGUUAGGGUGAUAGUAAUAUCUUUGAAUA
rnacentral:tRNA from 1 species